rnacentral:rRNA from 1 species
CUCAGUUCGGAUUGAAGUCUGCAACCCGACUUCAUGAAGCUGGAUUCGCUAGUAAUCGCGCAUCAGCCACGGCGCGGUGAAUACGUUCCCGGGCCUUGUACACACCGCCCGUCAAGCCAUGGGAGCCGGGGGUACCUGAAGUGCGUAACCGCAAGGAGCGCCCUAGGGUAAAACUGGUGACUGGGGCUAAGUCGUAACAAGGUAGC